UUCCCCAUACCCAUAACGUAUUAGAGAUUAUAAAAGAUUUUUAACUGCAAAAUACGUCAUUUUUACAACUAGUCUGUAGGUUACUAACUGCGAAAUCAUGAUUCAUACUACUUUUAGUGUUAAGUACAAUAUGUAUAUAGAUAUUUUGUGAAUUUGCUCUAAUUAAUUCUAAUAUUUGCUCAGUAAAAACGUAUUUUGCAAGUUAGUGGAUAGGUACCCCUAUAUUUAUGCUGACCUUAUCUUUUUUUAGUCGAUAAAAUCGCAUUAUAUCUUAAGCUUGCAUAAUAUCUGUCCAUAUGUAUUAUAGAUACUGUUCAUCGCCAAAAAUACUUUUUCACGUUUUUUAACAAGUUUAUUUUUAAGUUUUUUAUCACAAUAGUUUUAAACAAAUGCUGUAUUUAUGGAACGGCUGGAAUGGCUUGUGGAACGGGCCAGCAAUGUUAUUAUGUUAUUUUAUUUUUGUACUGUAGUUUAGAGUUGUAUUUGAUGUGUCAUUGAUAGUUUGAGAUUGUUGUAGUAAAACUGUUGAAAAAAAUAUGUUUUUUUUUUUUCAAAUAUUUCUUCUAUCUUUUGAACCAUAAUAUUUUUAAGAAAAUGCGUAUACAUACUUUUUACCGUAAUUUUUAUCACAAACAUAGUUAGGAACUACUAGAGAUUGAGUGUCAUUAUAACGACAUUGUUUGUGGCACAACGUGGAAUAAGUAUUUUUGAAGAAAACUCAAUAUUAAAAAAAGUAUAAUAUAAACGUUUAUUUACAAAUUCUUAUAAGUAUUAGGUCACUAACAAUUACAAAUUUUCCUGAGUCUUUUAUAUAUAAUGGUCACUCACUUUUAUAAUUGUCGUAAUAGGUACCGUAUAAAAAUAAAAACACGAGUUUCAAGAUAUAAGACUUCUAGUUAAAUUAGGCAUAUUUAUCUUGUCUGAGUAAGUAAGUAAGUUAAUUGUUAGUUAGGGACAACAAAGUAAAUGACACACACCCACCUAACAUAACUGCACAGCAACUUGACGGCCCUGACCUUAAAAUUUUUCACGUAUCAAGUGAGAAUGAGAAAGAAUUAUUUUUUAUAUGAGAAGGUGGAAAUAUAAGCUUUUAUUGCAAGAAGUCUCUGUAGCUCAGUUGACAGGGCGAUGGGCUAGUCGUGACUUCUAUUCUGGUUCGAACAGUCGAUAUUUCCACUUCUUAAUUAAUUUCUAAAAAUAAGUUUGGUUCCUGGGGGGUUACCAUGACGUGCUAAAGCCGUUCAGUUUAGGUUGAGAGAGAGGGACGGAGCUAUGUAACUGCUAUAGCUGUGUCCCUUUCUCUCAACCUAAACAACGUCUUUAGUACGUCAUAGUAACCCCCCUGCUAAGAUAUUGAUCUGGCUAGUCAACUUGACACUAAACUCAUCGCUCCUGAGACGGCAGCGAAGCCCGCGCUCAGCAGAGCUAUGGAGCAGAGCGACGGGUAGUGAAACAGGCACCCCCCGUUGGCUGUGUAUGCGCAGCUUGUCAACAAAACCUAUGAUAUUGAUCUGGCUAGUCGACUCGACACUAGACUCAGCAGAGCCAUUGACCAGAGGGAUGUGUAGUGGACCAGGCAGUCCCCGUUGGCUGUGUAUGCACAGCUUGUCUAAAAAUGCUAUGAUAUUGAUCUAGUUAGACGACUUGACACUAGACUCAGCAGAGCCAUUGACCAGAGGGAUGUGUAGUGGACCAGGCAGUCCCCGUUGGCUGUGUAUGCACAGGU